rnacentral:snRNA from 1 species
UGUCCUCCAUAGGAGGUCUAUAUUGAGCAGAUUCUUUUUGGUAUUGGGUGGUGGAACCGGAGCGUGCUCCAUCCACUCCAUGCAUUGACCUGGUAUUCCAGUGCUUCCAGGACCGGUGC